rnacentral:misc_RNA from 1 species
GAAAUGCGAUAAGUAAUGUGAAUUGCAGAAUUCAGUGAAUCAUCGAAUCUUUGAACGCACAUUGCGCCCGCCAGUAUUCUGGCGGGCAUGCCUGUUCGAGCGUCAUUUCAACCAUCAAGCCCCCGGCUUGUGUUGGGGACCUGCGGCUGCCCGCAGGCCCUGAAAAACAGUGGCGGGCUCGCUGUCACACCGAGCGUAGUAGCAUACAUUCUCGCUCAGGGCGUGCUGCGGGUUCCGGCCGUUAAACGACCUUCAUAACCCAAGGUUGACCUCGGAUCAGGUAGGAAGACCCGCUAAACUUAAGC